rnacentral:rRNA from 1 species
AGCGAACGCUGGCGGCAGGCCUAACACAUGCAAGUCGAACGGAUCCUUCGGGAUUAGUGGCGGACGGGUGAGUAACACGUGGGAACGUGCCCUUUGGUUCGGAACAACUCAGGGAAACUUGAGCUAAUACCGGAUGUGCCCUUCGGGGGAAAGAUUUAUCGCCAUUGGAGCGGCCCGCGCCUGAUUAGCUAGUUGGUGAGGUAAAGGCUCACCAAGGCGACGAUCAGUAGCUGGUCUGAGAGGAUGAUCAGCCACAUUGGGACUGAGACACGGCCCAAACUCCUACGGGAGGCAGCAGUGGGGAAUCUUGCGCAAUGGGCGAAAGCCUGACGCAGCCAUGCCGCGUGAAUGAUGAAGGUCUUAGGAUUGUAAAAUUCUUUCACCGGGGACGAUAAUGACGGUACCCGGAGAAGAAGCCCCGGCUAACUUCGUGCCAGCAGCCGCGGUAAUACGAAGGGGGCUAGCGUUGCUCGGAAUUACUGGGCGUAAAGCGUGCGCAGGCGGUUGUGCAAGACAGAUGUGAAAUCCCCGGGCUCAACCUGGGAAC